rnacentral:rRNA from 1 species
AGCAGCCGCGGUAAUUCCAGCUCCAAUAGCGUAUAUUAAAGUUGUUGCAGUUAAAAAGCUCGUAGUUGAAUUUCGGGAUCAGUUCGUCGGUCGUGCCUUUGGUAUGUACUGGUGUUACUGGUUCCUCCCUUCUGACGAACCGUCAUGUCAUUAAUUUGGUGUGGCGGGAAAUCAGGACUGUUACUUUGAAAAAAUUAGAGUGUUUAAAGCAGGCUCGCGCUUGAAUACAUUAGCAUGGAAUAAUGAAAUAGGACGUUCGAUCCUAUUUUGUUGGUUUCUAGGAUUGACGUAAUGAUUAAUAGGGAUAGUUGGGGGCAUUAGUAUUCAAUUGUCAGAGGUGAAAUUCUUGGAUUUAUUGAAGACUAACUACUGCGAAAGCAUUUGCCAAGGAUGUUUUCAUUAAUCAAGAACGAAAGUUAGGGGAUCGAAGACGAUCAGAUACCGUCGUAGUCUUAACCAUAAACUAUGCCGACUAGGGAUCGGAUGAUGUAAUUUUUUAAUGACUCAUUCGG